rnacentral:lncRNA from 1 species
AUAUUAUGGAAAUAUUUAUUGUUUUUGUCCUGGAAUAUUUUAAGACAGAAUGCUAUCUUUUUUAAAAAAAAAAGUGAAAUAAAGAAAAGCAUAUGCACACUAAAUAUACCAUGUGCUUACUUCACCAAUGUUUAUCACAGGAUUUGGAAAACUAAAUGGAUUUCUUUAGAAGUAGUUCUGGAUUCUUGAGGUAAACUCAUCACUGAACUCUCUAUUCAGAGGUGUGAUGCUCUACAUUUCUUGGCUGCUGGUUUUAGCUGUCCCUGAAAUUAGACCUGGAUCUCUUAAUAUUGACUGUAAUUACUAAUCUUGAGCUUGCCAUUAUAGUUGCAGUAAAUGGAGGUGUAAACACUUUCUGAAAAACCACAUCUGUGCUGAGAGCAUUUUGGAGAAGGUUUUCAAAAUGGCAUUAUCUCUCAUCUUCCCAGGUGCUAGAAAAGAGAUAAGCUCCAAUUCAGCCUCUAAACAGAAACUGACAGGGGCAGUAGAUAGAUUUAAGGGGACUGGUACAAAGCUAUCAAAUAAGCCAGCCCAGGUUUUGUGGACUACACACAUUUUCAUUUGUUGUUUGGUUGUGGGUUUUGGCUUUUGGUUUUCCUGAAAGAGAAAAGCAGCUAGAUUAAGAUUCCAGACCCCUCUUGUUUAACAUUGGAGCCAUGAAGAGGGAAAAAGUAAAAACAGUUCGCAGUGUGCUUUAUAAAGAAGAAAGAGAAAUGCAGGGGAGCUUUUUCUCUCAACCCUGCCCUUUCCUCCUCCCCACUACUCAUCUGGCGUAUCAGAUUGCAGUCAAUAUUAAAAAAAAAUAAUAAUUCAAUUGAAUUGAUCUUAAGUCUGGUUUAGAAGAUCGCCAUCAUUUGAAAUUUGCACACUUGAACUAAUGUAUCAUUUCGCAUGUAUAAAAUAAUACAAAUGUAUGGUGGGGGAGGCACACCAGCACCUCUUACUAUGCCUAAAACGCAGCUAUCAUUUAGCUUAGUUGUUGGAUUGGUUACACAGAGGAGACUGCUACAUAUACAUGCAAAAAAUGUUCCAAGAAGUUGCAAGGAAAUUACUCAGAAUAUGAACAGAACUUUUUUAUUAGUCAAAGCUGCACAAGGCUGUCGAGAGGGUUUUUUGUUUGUUCGUUCAGCAAAGUUAUGCUGCCUUGCAGAAAAAGAGAGCACUGUUUGUAGGUUGCGGUCCUGCCUGCAAAAGCAACUGGUCUCGGCGAAAUGAUGUGGAGGCUUUUUUUCUUCCACCUCAAGCGCCCUCUAGCGUGCAAUAUCUGCGCAAGUUGCUAUGUAGAAGAAGGUGGAGAGAAGAAAGGAAAAGAAACAGUCUACCAAUCGCUGCCCUAAUUCCUGAAUUGCCUGCUUUCCUUUCUCUGCUUCCUCAAAGGGGUCAUUUCCACUGAAGUGUUUGGCAAAACAAAAGAGGUGCUUUGCUUUUGCAUGAAAAACAAAUCACUCAUUUACUAAACUGGGAAACAAAUGCUAAUCCUUUCUCUGGGGUUUCUUUUGAACAUUCAUCAUAAUUUUCCAGAAGUUUCCUACACUCUAGUAAUCAGGCAAAUAAAAGAAGGUAAGUUGCUCCCUAGGAAGAAAUUCCAUUUUGUUCCUAACUCACUGCAGCCCAGCUCUAAGACAUUUGAUGCAAAUUGAUUAACCUCUCCAUGGGUUUUCAGUCAGUGUCUCCAUAAAAGUGCAUAAUACUUCUUUCUUGCCUCAGGGGGGUGGUAUGAGGCCUAAUUGAGGUUUAUAAAACAAUUUCAGUUCCUCAGAUACAAUUUGAUAUACAGUUGAACCCGCCUUUCAUCUUGCAUCUACUAACAGGGUUUCAAAUUCUCUUUGGUAGUCCGGAGGGAAAUUGGAUCGGGAUCUGUAUUUUCAUAAACACGUCGUUAAAACAACUCUAUUGUAAAUAGUGGCUUUGCUCAAGAGACUUAGAAUGGUAGGGAAUGGAGAAGAAUAUUUGGAGAAGAAAAAAUGUACUUGCUUUUGCAAACACUGUGUGUGAAUAAAUAUAGCUAAAUAGUAAGGCAAAUUUCUGACAAUACAUACAUUUUGGCAUAUCUCCCUAAAUUUUAAAACAAGCUAACAAUAACAGAAGGUAGUUUUAUUCACCCAAACACCACCCACUAAACACGUAGUCUCUUAGAGAGAAGCAGACACCUGUAAACAAACUUGUGUAUCUGCAUCUGUUCAGAUGGAAGGAUGUCUAAACACCUGCUAUGCAACUUAAGAGAUUUUAUUUACUAAUAUGGUUAUUAUUCAGCAUUGUGUUUUACCAAUACCCUUAGAGUGAUGAAAUUUCACAGGGUAGGUUAAGAGGGAGGUGAGAUAAUGUUAUAAUACACUCUAUUAGCUUUUUUUACAUAUAGUCUCAGAUUUUUAAUGUACUAUGAAUGGAAAGGAUAUUUUGGUAUCCUUUAAAGUAUGAGAAAACUGAGAUUUAGAGAAGUUGAGUGAAUUUGCUCAAGGUUAGAGAGUUACUAAGUUAUAGAAUGCAAUUCAAACCCAGGGCUUCCAACAUUAAAUAUAUAAUCUAGUGCCACCGUUCAAUAUUGAAAUACUAGUAAGUAACUAUUAUAACCUACUUUUAACAUAAUGUAUUACCUCACUAUGGACAGGACUCAUACACUGCAAUACAAGGUGAACUACCCAUUAUGUGUUCCCAAACAGAAUCAGAAUUCUUAAUUUUACGUGGUUUUGAAGACACAGACCCCAGAUUCCCUGUUUAACCAACUCAAGCAAACUCUCCAAGGAGAAUGUAUAUUUUCAAAAAGCCAACAAGGUAAUUCUGAUUCAGAAUAAUAACCAUCCAUUCUGGAGACCAUUUGAGAAUAAUGAAACCAAGUGGUGUCCAAGUUCCUGCUGAACUCUUCAAGGCUAAGCCAUACUUUUUUUUUUUCUUUUUAGGGCCACCCUGUGUCAUAUGGAAGUUCUCAGGCUAGGGGGUCAAAUCAAAAACACAGCUGAGCCCUACAACACAGCCAUGGAAAGACCAGAUCUGAGCCUCAUCUGUGACCUAUGAUGCAGUAUGUGGCAAUGCCAGUUCCUUAACUCACUGAGUGAGGCCAGGGAUCGACCAUGCAUCCUCACGGACACUAUACUGGGUUCUUAAUCCACUGAGCCGCGAGGGGAGCACCUGCUAUUACUAUUCAGAUCUGUAUAGCUCUUGGUAUAUUCCUAGGCACAUUAGCUCUCUUAUUUAAUCCUUGCCAUAAUCUUGUGAGGUGAGAAGAAGGUAUAUUAUUUAUUGGUUUUAUAGAUUUACAAGCUUUUAAAGCCAAAAAAGCUCUUGGAGAUAAUCCAGCUCAACCUCUUCAUUUUACAUAAAGAAAGCUGGGUAAGUCUUUUGACUCCUGAGCCUAAAAUUACAUAACUAGCUCUUGGGAAGAUCCAAGGCCAGAUCCCAGGCCAGGGGUUUUGAAAGGAUAUAUCAAGUUGUCACUUGUCUCUGAAAAUAUGGCCCAGGAAAAUUAUUAACGCUAACAACCUGAUUAGUCUUCAAGAUAUGAAGUCAGAAGCCUGGGGGGUGGGGGGAACAAACAAAUAGCAACAACAAAAACCAUUGUUUAGACCCAAAUGAAUGCCAUCUACAGAAGGUCUACAUUCAUUUUCUGGUGAGAUUACAUUUAUCCCUCCACCUAGUAUCUCUUCAGUCUAAUAAUACAUCUUGUCUUGGUUGAAUUAUUUUAGUACCCUGGAGUUUGGCUCACUAAUGUAGCCCCAGAGGCUCCUUCAAAGCAGAUCUAGUGUGCUGGAGAUUUUUGGAGGGAGAAUUAUAAGGGAAUCAGAGGAAGAUAACU